rnacentral:rRNA from 1 species
GACGUAGGGCGCGAGCGUUGUCCGGAUUUAUUGGGCGUAAAGAGCUCGUAGGCGGCUUGUCGCGUCGACCGUGAAAACUUGGGGCUCAACCCCCAAGCCUGCGGUCGAUACGGGCAGGCUCGAGUUCGGUAGGGGAGACUGGAAUUCCUGGUGUAGCGGUGAAAUGCGCAGAUAUCAGGAGGAACACCGGUGGCGAAGGCGGUCCUCUGGGCAUGUCCUGACGCUGAGGAGCGAAAGUGUGGGGAGCGAACAGG